rnacentral:rRNA from 1 species
AAUCUUGCGCAAUGGGCGAAAGCCUGACGCAGCAACGCCGCGUGCGGGAUGAAGGCCUUCGGGGCGUAAACCGCUUUCAGUGGGGACGAAUCCAGACGGUACCCACAGAAGAAGCCCCGGCCAACUACGUGCCAGCAGCCGCGGUAACACGUAGGGGGCGAGCGUUUUCCGGAUUCAUUGGGCGUAAAGAGCUCGUAGGCGGCUCAGCAAGUCGGGUGUGAAAACUCCAGGCUCAACCUGGAGACGCCACCCGAUACUGCUGUAGCUAGAGUCCAGUAGGGGAGCGUGGAAUUCCCGGUGUAGCGGUGAAAUGCGCAGAUAUCGGGAGGAACACCAGCGGCGAAGGCGGCGCUCUGGGCUGGAACUGACGCUGAGGAGCGAAAGCGUGGGGAGCAAACAGG